rnacentral:lncRNA from 12 species
ACGUCCCAGGGCUCUGGGGGGAGGCCCGGGGUGGCCGCGGGGAGCGGGGGGUGCGAGCCUGAAUCACAAAGCGGCAGAACCGGGAGGGCCGGGCUGGCAGCGCCGCUCCUGCCUGAGUCACCACGGGCCCGCAGCGGGGCAGCGGUCAAAGUAACAUCCAGGCUCUGCAUGGCAUGAGGCAGAAACAGGAUUUUCUAGCAUGGUGAGUACUUGUGGAAUCACCAGGCUGAUGAUUGCUAAUGACCAAGAAUUCAGGAGACACUGCAUCCUAAAUACAAG